rnacentral:lncRNA from 1 species
AGGCAGCUUUGGAGCAAAUUACUUGAGUUAAUACCUCUGUUUUCUACCAUAAGAUGGGGCUAUAGGCAGACCUGUAGGACGGUUUUCUUAGUGAUUGAUGAGGGAGGGCCCAUCCCAACCCUGGGCUAAAGGUCUGAGUUCUUUCUUUAAGAAAGCAGGGGCUGGUGAAAUGGCUCAGUGGGUAAGAGCACCCGACUGCUCUUCCAAAGGUCCGGAGUUCAAAUCCCAGCAACCACAUGGUGGCUCACAACCAUCUUGUAACGAGAUCUGACUCCCUCUUCUGGAGUGUCUGAAGACAGCUACAAUGUACUUACAUAUAAUCAAUAAAUAAAUCUUU